AGCAAAUUGUGCCUCCUAUGCUUAAUUCUUUCCUGGACCAAGAUAGCAGAGUGCGUUACUAUGCUUGUGAAGCGCUAUACAACAUAGCAAAGGUUGUAAGAGGGGAUUUCAUCAUCUACUUCAACAAAAAUUUUGAUGCUUUAUGCAAGCUUUCUGCAGAUUCCGAUGCUAAUGUUCAAAGUGCAGCUCACCUUCUUGACAGGCUUGUCAAGGAUAUCAUAACCGAGAGUGACCAGUUCAG